CCCUACGGGGCGCAGCAGGCGCGAAAACUUCACACUGUGCGAAAGCGCGAUGAGGGAAUCCCAAGUGUUUGCUCGUAAGAGUAAACUGUUUCUUUGUUUAAAACGCAGAGAGAGUAAGGGCUGGGUAAGACGGGUGCCAGCCGCCGCGGUAAUACCUGCAGCUCAAGUGGUGAUCAUUAUUAUUGGGCCUAAAACGUCCGUAGCCGGUUUAGUAAAUGCCUGGGUAAAUUGUGUAGCUUAACUAUACGGCUUCCGGGUAGACUGCUAAACUUGAGACCGGGAGAGGCUAGAGGUACUCCUGGGGUAGAGGUGAAAUUCUGUAAUCCUAGGGGGACCACCAGUGGCGAAGGCGUCUAGCUAGAACGGGUCUGACGGUGAGGGACGAAGCCCUGGGGCACAAACCGGAUUAGAUACCCGGGUAGUCCAGGGUGUAAACGCUGCUUGCUUGAUGUUAGUUGGGCUCCGAGCCCAACUAGUGUCGGAGAGAAGUUGUUAAGCAAGCUGCCUGGGAAGUACGGUCGCAAGGCUGAAACUUAAAGGAAUUGGCGGGGGAGCAC
rnacentral:rRNA from 1 species